rnacentral:rRNA from 1 species
GUGGAUUAGAUACCCUGGUAGUCCAGACCGUAAACGGUGGGCACUAGUUGUGGGGACCUUCCACGGUUUCUGCGACGCAGCUAACGCAUUAAGUGCCCCGCCUGGGGAGUACGAUCGCAAGAUUAAAACUCAAAGGAAUUGACGGGGCCCCGCACAAGCAGCGGAGCAUGCGGCUUAAUUCGACGCAACGCGAAGAACCUUACCAAGGCUUGACAUAUAGGGAAAAGUGGCAGAGAUGUCAUGUCCGCAAGGGCCCUAUACAGGUGGUGCACGGCUGUCGUCAGCU